GUAUGUCAGUACCUUCAGUGUGUCGCACAGACUUGCUGACAGGGGACAAAACAAAAACCACAGAAACAAAAGCAGCUCAAGAUCUUGUUCUGAUGAAAUGAGAACUCUCUCCCCAGUGUCUGUACGCUUCGUUUAAUGGACCAUGGGAGACUCAGGAUUCACCAGUGUCUCAGGAAGCUGCAGCAGGCAAUGGCAGAUGGCAGCAGGAACACGAGGUGAUCUGACGGAACAGCAGUGCCCUGGAAACAUCUUACUGCACAAAAAUCAAAAGGAAAUUGGAGAUUGGCUUUGUUAAGGACAUCUCUUGUUCUGUGGUGCUGUCGCACAGUCGUUGCACGGAAGUGUCUACAGGUGGUAAUGAGGAGGAAUCAAAGCUUCAGAGGGAGCUGCAGGAACAGCUGGACCUCCUAAGAGCUGCAAAAGAAGAUUCCCCAGCUAAAACAUGUCCACGGAGAGUCAUAUGUGCAUAGCUGUUAGGAUUUUGGAAUCGGUGUGGUGGAAUGACAGGGAGUUGAUGAGUAAAUAUUAAUUGAGAGAGCA